rnacentral:rRNA from 1 species
GUCUAUGGCCAUGCUACCCUGAACAAGCCCAAUCCCAUCUGAUCUCAGAAGCUAAGCAGGGUCGGGCCUGGUUAGUACUUGGAUGGGAGAGCACCUAGGAAGACCAGAUGCUGUAGGUG